CCCCUCGCUUCCCGACGUUCCGUUCCCCCCUGCCCGCCUUCUCCCGCCGCCGCCGCCUUCCGCAGGCCGUUUCCACCGAGGAAAAGGAAUCGUAUCGUAUGUCCGCUAUCCAGAACCUCCACUCUUUCGGUAAGCUGUGGGAAAGGUCGCGGGCCCGGGUGGGGCAGCGGGGCCUUCUGGGCCCGGAGACGUGUUCCAGGAAGUUGCCAAGCGCUCCGGGCCUUCGUAAGCUCGGGCAGGGGAAACUUGUCCAGGGUCGCAGGGCAGCGGAAUCAAGGCCUGGACCCUAGGGUCGGACCGUGAGCGCGACCGGAAGGAGCAGGCGACCCCUUUGCUGAUGCAAGUAAGGGUGAUGACCUGCUUCCUGCUGGCACUGAGGAUUAUAUCCAUAUAAGAAUUCAACAGAGAAACGGCAGGAAGACUCUUACUACUGUCCAAGGGAUCGCUGAUGAUUACGAUAAAAAGAAACUAGUGAAGGCGUUUAAGAAAAAGUUUGCCUGCAAUGGUACUGUAAUUGAGCAUCCGGAAUAUGGAGAAGUAAUUCAGCUACAGGGUGACCAACGCAAGAACAUAUGCCAGUUCCUCGUAGAGAUUGGACUGGCUAAGGACGAUCAGCUGAAGGUUCAUGGGUUUUAAGUGCUUGUGGUUCAUUGAAGCUUAAGUGAGGAUUUCCUUGCAAUGAGUAGAAUUUCCCUUCUGUCCCUUGUCACAAGUUUAAAAACCUCACAGCUUGUAUAAUGUAACCAUUUGGGGUCCGCUUUUAACUUGGACUAGUGUAACUCCUUCAUGCAAUAAACUGAAAAGAGCCA
rnacentral:sRNA from 1 species